rnacentral:lncRNA from 1 species
GAAACGUCUUCUUUCACAUGGUUGUUCGUGCCAUUCGUGCCAUUAAUUAAUUAUGGCACGAGUUAUGAUUUGUGAAGACGGAGAAUAUCGAUCUAAUUAAUUAAAACGGCGUAUGUUUUCAGACUUGGAGGAGGAUUUCGAUUUCCGGCCACCGGAAGAACUGAACAAGGUUUCUUUCUGGGAAAAGAUCUCCAGAGGACGAACGGACGUACGUUGAAUGUUUUUUUAAGUCUUUCAAACUUCCAACGUGAAUACAUGGAACGACUCUGAACUUGUUUUUUUCUUUUCUAGAGGUCAAAAAUGAAUGAAU